CCCACUGUAUAUAAAAUAGCCCUGCCUCUCUCGUAGUAAUAAAAACGGAUGAACAUAGCCCUGCCUCUCUAUCAGUUCUCCAUUGAAGCGCUCUCAACAUCGCACUUUACGUUCUUUAUUACAAACUAUUCGUUCUAUUUGAUCUAAGCUUCUCCUGAGGCCCGAUUUAAUUUUUAGGCUACGAUGCAUAAUGUCCGGGGAAGUCUCUUCUUAUUACGGAGAUUCCGCAGCUUGCAUACAAUUUCCCAUGAUACAGCAAGUGAAAUCCUAAAGAGAAAGGUUGCUGAUCUUGAGAAAAAGAGGAAGACAAGAAAUCCGAAGAAAAUUGAGGUUUUUGUUGAAGUUCCAGAGUCCAUGGCGUUUUACGAUACAGCUACCUUGCCAAUGAUGCUUACCGCUGUCGGGGUUGCACUUUUUGCCAAACUUCUUAUGAUGUAUGAUGAGUCAAGAUCUCAAGAAUUGAUUGAGCGCAAGAUAAGGAAUGCUCCUCCUGAACAAGGGACGGUUAGGAUGCUCACCCGUGAAGAGUGGGAGGAAAUUCGAGAAGUGAGGCCCAGGACACCUUUUGAGUCAAAGCUUGCUCGACCUAAUGCACGAAUAAGGACAGGAGGUGCUGUUAGAAAGGGGGUCGAUUUCAUAACACAUUCUGCUAGAUAACAUGAUUAGGGAAGAGUAUUGUGCUUUGCCGACUGUUUCCUCUGUACUAUCUUCUUUUUAAAGGGCCUUUCAAAGUUAAGGAUAUUUUCAGCUAGCUUGCCUGGUUGGUACCUGUCAGUGUUUGUGAUGCAUGGUCAAAUUACUCAAAUCGACAUGAAUUUUGGUUGUUGAAAGGUUCGAUUUCAACCUUCAAGCAACCAAGAUUCUUGGGGGCUUUCAACCUAUAGUAAGUAAGGAAUUUCGUGGUGGACUGGUGGAUUGACUUGUAUUGUAAUUUUAGAAGAAAGGAUUUUCUGAUAUGGGGUGGGGAGGGGCAAUAAGGGAUUUAGGAAUUGAUAUAUUAGGGAUGGGUGGAGUGGUUGUGCAAGUGGGAGUUGUAGAGAGAGUAGUGGCAGUUUUGGGUGUUAGGGGUUGGUGGUAAUGGUGUGCGGUGAUAGCUGAAACCAAGCAUAUAUGAAAGAGUAGGUGCCUGACAAGCAGCCCUUGGUUGAUAAGAGACAACCAGCUCACCCCUACUUCAUGAUUGGUGUGGUUGUCACUGGCAGUCUUACUGAGAGUAUAUGGAACUAGUCGGUGAGAAAGAGAGAGGUCCCGUGUACUUAUAUGAUCUGAUAAAUUGGAGGAUGUGAAGGACUGGGGAAUCGAUGUCCUUAUGGAUGCUGUUACACGAGUGGAAGAAAGUGUCAAACAUAAUUCGAGGUGAUGUUUAGGCUAAAUAUCGAUCUCAGAUAAAGAGCGUACUACUUUCACGCUCAAGCUCAUAAAAUUAUCAAGGAUUACCUCAAAGGUUCUUAACUCGCGAACAGGCUAUGUUAUGUUGGCUUAUUUUUAAGGAAAGAAUCCUGUGUUCGUCCAA